rnacentral:rRNA from 1 species
GACGAACGCUGGCGGCGUGCUUAACACAUGCAAGUCGAGCGGUAAGGCCCUUUCGGGGGUACGACGAGCGGCGAACGGGUGAGUAACACGUGGGUGACCUGCCCUCCAGCUCUGGGAUAAGCCUGGGAAACCGGGUCUAAUACCGGAUAUGACUCCAUGACGCAUGUUGUGGGGUGGAAAGCCUUGUGCGGCUGAGGAUGGGCCCGCGGCCUAUCAGCUUGUUGGUGGGGUGAUGGCCUACCAAGGCGACGACGGGUAGCCGGCCUGAGAGGGCGACCGGCCACACUGGGACUGAGACACGGCCCAGACUCCUACGGGAGGGCAGCAGUGGGGAAUCUUGCGCAAUGGGCGAAAGCCUGACGCAGCGACGCCGCGUGAGGGAUGACGGCCUCGG